GAUGAACGCUGGCGGCAUGCCUAAUACAUGCAAGUCGAACGAGAGGAAGGAAAGCUUGUUUUUCUGAAUCUAGUGGCGAACGGGUGAGUAACACGUAGGUAACCUGCCCAUGUGCCCGGGAUAACUUCUGGAAACGGAUGCUAAAACCGGAUAGGUAGCAGACAAGCAUUUGACUGCUAUUAAAGUGGCUAAGGCCAUGAACAUGGAUGGACCUGCGGUGCAUUAGCUAGUUGGUGAGGUAACGGCCCACCAAGGCGACGAUGCAUAGCCGGCCUGAGAGGGCGGACGGCCACAUUGGGACUGAGACACGGCCCAAACUCCUACGGGAGGCAGCAGUAGGGAAUUUUCGUCAAUGGGGGGAACCCUGAACGAGCAAUGCCGCGUGAGUGAGGAAGGUCUUCGGAUCGUAAAGCUCUGUUGUAAAGA
rnacentral:rRNA from 1 species